rnacentral:rRNA from 1 species
GGGGGGGGGGGGGGGGGGGGGGGGGGGGGGGGGGGGGAGGGGGGGGGGGGUGCGGGGGUGGGGGGCGCGAGUGGGGAGGGGGGGAGUGGCGCGGGAGUAAGCGGGCGUUGACUGGGGGAUAACGUCAGGAAACGGGGGCGAGUACCGGCUAGGGGGUCCUGCGGCCGGGUGGGGGGUGGGAGAUUGCGGCGGUUGGGGAUGGACUCGCGGCUGAUCAGCUUGUUGGGUGGGUAGUGGCUUAACAAGGCUUUGACGGGUAGCCGGCCUGAGAGGGUGACCGGCCACAUUGGGACUGAGAUACGGCCCAGACUCCUACGGGAGGCAGCAGUGGGGAAUAUUGCACAAUGGGCGGAAGCCUGAUGCAGCCACGCCGCGUGCGGGAUGACGGCCUUCGGGUUGUAAACCGCUUUCGCCUGUGACGAAGCGUGAGUGACGGUAAUGGGUAAAGAAGCACCGGCUAACUACGUG